rnacentral:rRNA from 1 species
GAGCGCCGUAGCAAUACGGAGCGGCAGACGGGAGAGUAACACGUGGGAACGUGCCCUUUGGUUCGGAACAACCCAGGGAAACUUGGGCUAAUACCGGAUAAGCCCUUACGGGGAAAGAUUUAUCGCCGAAGGAUCGGCCCGCGUCUGAUUAGCUAGUUGGUGGGGUAAUGGCCCACCAAGGCGACGAUCAGUAGCUGGUCUGAGAGGAUGAUCAGCCCCACUGGGACUGAGACACGGCCCAGACUCCUACGGGAGGCAGCAGUGGGGAAUAUUGGACAAUGGGCGCAAGCCUGAUCCAGCCAUGCCGCGUGGGUGAUGAAGGCCCUAGGGUUGUAAAGCCCUUUCGGCGGGGAAGAUAAUGACGGUAUAUACAGAAGAAGC